rnacentral:rRNA from 1 species
GAGUUUGAUCCUGGCUCAGGACGAACGCUGGCGGCGUGCCUAAUACAUGCAAGUCGAGCGGACAGAUGGGAGCUUGCUCCCUGAUGUUAGCGGCGGACGGGUGAGUAACACGUGGGUAACCUGCCUGUAAGACUGGGAUAACUCCGGGAAACCGGGGCUAAUACCGGAUGGUUGUCUGAACCGCAUGGUUCAGACAUAAAAGGUGGCUUCGGCUACCACUUACAGAUGGACCCGCGGCGCAUUAGCUAGUUGGUGAGGUAACGGCUCACCAAGGCGACGAUGCGUAGCCGACCUGAGAGGGUGAUCGGCCACACUGGGACUGAGACACGGCCCAGACUCCUACGGGAGGCAGCAGUAGGGAAUCUUCCGCAAUGGACGAAAGUCUGACGGAGCAACGCCGCGUGAGUGAUGAAGGUUUUCGGAUCGUAAAGCUCUGUUGUUAGGGAAGAAUAAGUGCCGUUCAAAUAGGGCGGCACCUUGACGGUACCUAACCAGAAAGCCACGGCUAACUACGUGCCAGCAGCCGCGGUAAUACGUAGGUGGCAAGCGUUGUCCGGAAUUAUUGGGCGUAAAGGGCUCGCAGGCGGUUUCUUAAGUCUGAUGUGAAAGCCCCCGGCUCAACCGGGGAGGGUCAUUGGAAACUGGGGAACUUGAGUGCAGAAGAGGAGAGUGGAAUUCCACGUGUAGCGGUGAAAUGCGUAGAGAUGUGGAGGAACACCAGUGGCGAAGGCGACUCUCUGGUCUGUAACUGACGCUGAGGAGCGAAAGCGUGGGGAGCGAACAGGAUUAGAUACCCUGGUAGUCCACGCCGUAAACGAUGAGUGCUAAGUGUUAGGGGGUUUCCGCCCCUUAGUGCUGCAGCUAACGCAUUAAGCACUCCGCCUGGGGAGUACGGUCGCAAGACUGAAACUCAAAGGAAUUGACGG